GGGUUGUGAGGUUAAGCGACUAAGCGUACACGGUGGAUGCCCUGGCAGUCAGAGGCGAUGAAGGACGUGCUAAUCUGCGAAAAGCGCCGGCGAGGUGAUAUGAACCUUUGACCCGGCGAUGUCCGAAUGGGGAAACCCAGUGCAAUCCGUUGCACUAUCGUUAACUGAAUACAUAGGUUAACGAGGCGAACCGGGGGAACUGAAACAUCUAAGUACCCCGAGGAAAAGAAAUCAACCGAGAUUCCCCCAGUAGCGGCGAGCGAACGGGGAGCAGCCCGGAGUCUGAAUCAGCUUGUGUGUUAGUGGAACGGUCUGGAAAGUCCGACGGUACAGGGUGAUAGUCCCGUACACGAAAGCACACAUGCUGUGAACUCGAAGAGUAGGGCGGGACACGUGGUAUCCUGUCUGAAUAUGGGGGGACCAUCCUCCAAGGCUAAAUACUCCUGACUGACCGAUAGUGAACCAGUACCGUGAGGGAAAGGCGAAAAGAACCCCGGCGAGGGGAGUGAAAAAGAACCUGAAACCGUGUACGUACAAGCAGUGGGAGCCUCUUUAUGGGGUGACUGCGUACCUUUUGUAUAAUGGGUCAGCGACUUAUAUUCUGUAGCAAGGUUAACCGUAUAGGGGAGCCGAAGGGAAACCGAGUCUUAACUGGGCGUUAAGUUGCAGGGUAUAGACCCGAAACCCGGUGAUCUAGCCAUGGGCAGGUUGAAGGUUGGGUAACACUAACUGGAGGACCGAACCGACUAAUGUUGAAAAAUUAGCGGAUGACCUGUGGCUGGGGGUGAAAGGCCAAUCAAACCGGGAGAUAGCUGGUUCUCCCCGAAAGCUAUUUAGGUAGCGCCUCGUGAACUCAUCUUCGGGGGUAGAGCACUGUUUCGGCUAGGGGGCCAUCCCGGCUUACCAACCCGAUGCAAACUACGAAUACCGAAGAAUGUUAUCACGGGAGACACACGGCGGGUGCUAACGUCCGUCGUGAAGAGGGAAACAACCCAGACCGCCAGCUAAGGUCCCAAAGUCAUGGUUAAGUGGGAAACGAUGUGGGAAGGCACAGACAGCCAGGAUGUUGGCUUAGAAGCAGCCAUCAUUUAAAGAAAGCGUAAUAGCUCACUGGUCGAGUCGGCCUGCGCGGAAGAUGUAACGGGGCUAAACCAUGCACCGAAGCUGCGGCAGCGACACUAUGUGUUGUUGGGUAGGGGAGCGUUCUGUAAGCCGUUGAAGGUGUGCUGUGAGGCAUGCUGGAGGUAUCAGAAGUGCGAAUGCUGACAUAAGUAACGAUAAAGCGGGUGAAAAGCCCGCUCGCCGGAAGACCAAGGGUUCCUGUCCAACGUUAAUCGGGGCAGGGUGAGUCGACCCCUAAGGCGAGGCCGAAAGGCGUAGUCGAUGGGAAACAGGUUAAUAUUCCUGUACUUGGUGUUACUGCGAAGGGGGGACGGAGAAGGCUAUGUCAGCCGGGCGACGGUUGUCCCGGUUUAAGCAUGUAGGCGGAGGUUCCAGGUAAAUCCGGUACCUU
rnacentral:rRNA from 1 species